ensembl:lncRNA
GCAUAUUUAGGGCCAUGCAGGCGCGCGCAGGCAGCAGAGGCACCAUGUUUAAGAUCUUAAAGUCUGCGGUUGCUUCACUAAACCUACAUGCUUGUGCAAGGUAUCUUGAGGUAUGAGAUCUUCUGUGAAUCGUUUCCAUCAAUGCAUCAGUCAAUCAAUCUUCACCAACACCACACGCCAUCAACAACUCUCUUUUGUUGUUUCUUCUAAUGAAAACAGCUCUCUAUGAGAGUUCUGAUGAGUUCGAGUGAUGAACGAGGACACAGUUUGGUGAGAGUAAGUGAAAAUCACACUCUCUUCCUCCACUCAGC